rnacentral:lncRNA from 1 species
CGUUAAUAUUGAGUCACUGAUAAGGUCUUUGCAUCGGAACUAAACACAUUUAUUCUAAAAACAGUUGUUGGCAUGACACGGGUUAUGUUCUUCUCAUAUAUGUUAUGAUGGUAUGAUACUAAACCCCUAGCGGGAAGGAUUGUGCCUGAUGUUCAUAUGAUGAAAUCAUAAUCUUUUAGUCAGUUUAAUUGAAGUCUGGAGCUGGCAUGUCAGUUAACUGCUAGUAGUCUGUUGUUAUUUAUGUAUUAUUGUCAUUUUGUUUAUUUUCUUUGGUUACAUCUACUGACAUCAGACUCGGACCUCUCUUGAACUGAAUUUUAAU